GCCUGGCUGGCUCAGUCGGUUAGGCGUCUGACUUCGGCUCAGGUCAUGAUCUCGCGGUCUGCGGGUUCGAGCCCCACGUCGGGCU
rnacentral:tRNA from 1 species